UCACGCGGAAAGCGUCUAGCCAUGGCGUUAGUACGAGUGUCGUGCAGCCUCCAGGCCCCCCCCUCCCGGGAGAGCCAUAGUGGUCUGCGGAACCGGUGAGUACACCGGAAUCGCCGGGACGACCGGGUCCUUUCUUGGAACAACCCGCUCAAUGCCCGGAAAUUUGGGCGUGCCCCCGCGAGAUCACUAGCCGAGUAGUGUUGGGUCGCGAAAGG
rnacentral:other from 12 species